GAAACUCGUCAUGAUUCUGUGAACAGAGGACACCUGCCAAGAAGGUAAACCCAUUUUACUUUGGGAUAUUACUCUAUAAGAAGUAAGAGUACACAUCAAUUACCAGCAGAACCUGCCUCAUCUACCAUCAAAAUGAAGUUCGCUAUUGUGGUUGCUCUCCUUGGAGUUCUCCUGGCUCCAACCCUUGCCGAAGAGAACCACAGGGAGGCCAACGGUGAAGGUCCGCACCUUCCACCCCGUGUUGAAGGUCCACACCUUCCACCCCGUGUUGAAGGUCCACACCAUCCACCCAGUGGCGAAAAUCCACACUAUCUAAUCCACCAUGGAAAUCCACACCACCUACCCCCUGUUGAAAUUCCACGCCCUCAUUUGGUCAACCCUGGGUUUGCCAUCAGGCCGCCUCAGAACUGGAAAACCAUCUGGGAUGCCAAGACCGGCUUCAUCGCAACCAAGGUACUGGGAAAAAACACUUGCAUCAUUAGCAAAGCUGAUACAGGAUUUAACAGAUUUGAGGGAGCUAGCACUGGGUUCCUUCCACCCAUAGAGCAUCGUUACAUGAUCUCAAACAACAGACUCCUGAACCUGUACCCAUAUGGACCACGCAUUCAAAGACUGUGCAGAGGAAUUCCCACUUACUUUGCUUUCCCAUCUCCUGCAUCAAACUUCUCAGAGGAUGAUGCCUCAUGUAUCAGAAACAAGUUCAGAAACAUGUGGUUCACUUACUGCAAUUUAUAAAUUUCUCCUGAUGAAAUUUUGAGGAAGAAAAUACACAUAUCUGCAUAUCCAUGAAGAAGCUUUUUUUUCCUUGAUGAUCUUAUCUUGAUCACAAUGUCAAUCAUGUAUCUGUCUUCUCUUCUGCUCUUGGUGGAGCAUAUUUUCUUUCAGUAAAAUGCAUCAUCAGCCUCC
rnacentral:lncRNA from 1 species